rnacentral:rRNA from 1 species
UCAAGCGUGAGGUAAGGGCAUCUGGUGAAUGCCUUGGCAUGUACAGGCGAUGAAGGACGUGGCACGCUGCGAUAAGCGUGGGGGAGCCGUGAGCAGGCUUUGAUCCCGCGAUUUCCGAAUGGGACAACCCACCUUCACCAUUUAAUUCCGUUGUCGGUUUUCCGGCCGCGUAGUUAAAUGGGAAAGGUAUCACUAAGCUGAAUAAAAUAGGCUUUGGUGAAGCGAACCCGGAGAACUGAAACAUCUCAGUACCCGGAGGAAAAGACAUCAACCGAGAUUCCGUUAGUAGUGGCGAGCGAACGCGGACCAGGCCAGUGCCUGAUGUUUAAUUAGCAGAACGAUCUGGAAAGUUCGGCCAUAGCGGGUGACAGCCCCGUAUGCGAAAAUGAAACAUCAGGACUUGAGUAGGGCGGAGCACGUGAAACUCUGUCUGAACAUGGGGGGACCACCCUCCAAGCCUAAAUACUCGUACAUGACCGAUAGUGAACCAGUACCGUGAGGGAAAGGUGAAAAGCACCCCGAUGAGGGGAGUGAAACAGUACCUGAAACCGGAUGCCUACAAGCAGUGGGAGGGUCCUUGAGACCUGACCGCGUACCUCUUGCAUAAUGGGUCUGUGACUUAGUGUAUCAAGCAAGCUUAAGCCGUUAGGUGUAGGCGCAGCGAAAGCGAGUCUGAAUAGGGCGCCAUAGUUUGAUGCAUUAGACCCGAAACCCGGCGAUCUAUGCAUGACCAGGUUGAAGGUGCGGUAACACGCACUGGAGGACCGAACCGUUCAAUGUUGAAAAAUUGUCGGAUGAGUUGUGCUUAGGGGUGAAAGGCCAAUCAAGCCGGGAAAUAGCUGGUUCUCCGCGAAAUCUAUUGAGGUAGAGCGUCGAAUAUUUGCCGUUGGGGGUAGAGCACUGGAUGGAUGCGGGGGUCGCGAGAUCUACCAAUUCUAACCAAACUCCGAAUACCAACGAGUCUAGUUCGGCAGACAGACGGCGGGUGCUAAGGUCCGUCGUCAAAAGGGAAACAGCCCUAACCUACAGCUAAGGUCCCCAAGUCAUCACUAAGUGGGAAAGCAUGUGGGAUUUCCAAAACAACCAGGAGGUUGGCUUAGAAGCAGCCAUCCUUUAAAGAAAGCGUAACAGCUCACUGGUCUAAAUAAGAGAUCCUGCGGCGAAGAUGUAACGGGGCUAAAGUGAUGCACCGAAGCUUAGGGUUCAGUCUUUGACUGAGCGGUAGCGGAGCGUUCCGUAGGCCGUUGAAGCGGAAGGGUAACCGACCGUGGAGGUAUCGGAAGUGCGAAUGCAGACAUGAGUAGCGAUUAAGAGGGUGAGAUGCCCUCUCGCCGAAAUUCCAAGGGUUCCUGCUUAAAGCUAAUCUGAGCAGGGUAAGCCGGCCCCUAAGACGAGCCCGAAGGGGGUAGUCGAUGGGAACCACGUUAAUAUUCGUGGGCCUGGUGGUGUGUGACGGAUGCCGUAAAUUGUUCGGGCUUAUUGGAUUGCUCCGGGCAGUGAAGGGGUCCCAGGAAAUAGCCCCACCGUAUAGACCGUACCCUAAACCGACACAGGUGGAAUGGUAGAGUAUACCAAGGCGUUUGAGAGAAGUAUCCUGAAGGAACUCGGCAAAUUGCCUCCGUACCUUCGGAAGAAGGAGGCCCCAUCUUAAGGCAACUUUUGAUGGGGGGCACAGGCCAGGGGGUAGCGACUGUUUAGCAAAAACACAGGGCUCUGCUAAGUCGGCUUCAAGACGACGUAUAGGGCCUGACGCCUGCCCGGUGCCUGAAGGUUAAGAGGAGGAGUGCAAGCUCUGAAUUGAAGCCCAGGUAAACGGCGGCCGUAACUAUAACGGUCCUAAGGUAGCGAAAUUCCUUGUCGGGUAAGUUCCGACCUGCACGAAUGGCGUAACGACUUCCCCACUGUCUCCAGGAUAUGCUCAGCGAAAUUG